AUUGAACGCUGGCGGCAGGCCUAACACAUGCAAGUCGAACGAGUGGCGGACGGGUGAGUAAUGUAUGGGAAACUGCCUGAUGGAGGGGGAUAACGACGGGAAACGGUAGCUAAUACCGCAUACCAUCGGAUGUGCCCAGCUGGGAUUAGCUAGUAGGUGGGGUAACGGCACACCUAGGCGACGAUCCCUAGCUGGUCUGCGAGGAUGACCAGCCCCACCGGAACUGGGGCACGGUCCAGGCUCCUACGGGAGGCAGCGGUGGUGAAUAUUGCACAAUGGGCGCAAGCCUGAUGCAGCCAUGCCGCGUGUAUGAAGCAGGCCUUCGGGUUGUAAAGUACUUUCAGCGGGGAGGCGUUACCCGAAGAAGAAGCACCGGCUAACUCCGUGCCAGCAGCCGCGGUAAUAC
rnacentral:rRNA from 1 species